rnacentral:rRNA from 2 species
UUAAGCGACUAAGCGUACACGGUGGAUGCCCUGGCAGUCAGAGGCGAUGAAGGGCGUGCUAAUCUGCGAUAAGCGCCGGUAAGGUGAUAUGAACCGUUAUAACCGGCGAUACCCGAAUGGGGAAACCCAGUGUGAUUCGUCACACUAUCAUUAACUGAAUCCAUAGGUUAAUGAGGCGAACCGGGGGAACUGAAACAUCUAAGUACCCCGAGGAAAAGAAAUCAACCGAGAUUCCCCCAGUAGCGGCGAGCGAACGGGGAGGAGCCCAGAGCCUGAAUCAGCAUGUGUGUUAGUGGAAGCGUCUGGAAAGGCGCGCGAUACAGGGUGACAGCCCCGUACACAAAAGCGCAUGUGCUGUGAGCUCGAUGAGUAGGGCGGGACACGUGGUAUCCUGUCUGAAUAUGGGGGGACCAUCCUCCAAGGCUAAAUACUCCUGACUGACCGAUAGUGAACCAGUACCGUGAGGGAAAGGCGAAAAGAACCCCGGCGAGGGGAGUGAAAAAGAACCUGAAACCGUGUACGUACAAGCAGUGGGAGCCCCACCACUAAGCCAGUGGUGAACUCCACAUCCGCAUCCUUUGCUGAGGAUACGGUUAACGGAGCGAAAGCGACGUUCAACCGCAAAACAAGCAGAGGGGGCUUAGUGGUGGGGUGACUGCGUACCUUUUGUAUAAUGGGUCAGCGACUUAUAUUCUGUAGCAAGGUUAACCGAAUAGGGGAGCCGGAGGGAAACCGAGUCUUAAUUGGGCGUUAAGUUGCAGGGUAUAGACCCGAAACCCGGUGAUCUAGCCAUGGGCAGGUUGAAGGUUGGGUAACACUAACUGGAGGACCGAACCGACUAAUGUUGAAAAAUUAGCGGAUGACCUGUGGCUGGGGGUGAAAGGCCAAUCAAACCGGGAGAUAGCUGGUUCUCCCCGAAAGCUAUUUAGGUAGCGCCUCGUGAAUUCAUCUCCGGGGGUAGAGCACUGUUUCGGCUAGGGGGCCAUCCCGGCUUACCAACCCGAUGCAAACUGCGAAUACCGGAGAAUGUUAUCACGGGAGACACACGGCGGGUGCUAACGUCCGUCGUGAAGAGGGAAACAACCCAGACCGCCAGCUAAGGUCCCAAAGUCAUGGUUAAGUGGGAAACGAUGUGGGAAGGCCCAGACAGCCAGGAUGUUGGCUUAGAAGCAGCCAUCAUUUAAAGAAAGCGUAAUAGCUCACUGGUCGAGUCGGCCUGCGCGGAAGAUGUAACGGGGCUAAACCAUGCACCGAAGCUGCGGCAGCGAACGUAUCACUUAAAGCGAUUCAGCGGGUUACGAUUGACGGAGCGAAGCGACGUCAAAGCGUAUACAAAGUCGAGUCGGUUUAAGGAUACGUUCGUUGGGUAGGGGAGCGUUCUGUAAGCCCGUGAAGGUGGCCUGUGAGGGUUGCUGGAGGUAUCAGAAGUGCGAAUGCUGACAUAAGUAACGAUAAAGCGGGUGAAAAGCCCGCUCGCCGGAAGACCAAGGGUUCCUGUCCAACGUUAAUCGGGGCAGGGUGAGUCGACCCCUAAGGCGAGGCCGAAAGGCGUAGUCGAUGGGAAACGGGUUAAUAUUCCCGUACUUGGUGUUACUGCGAAGGGGGGACGGAGAAGGCUAUGUUGGCCGGGCGACGGUUGUCCCGGUUUAAGCGUGUAGGUGUGUGUUCCAGGUAAAUCCGGUUCACUUUAACACUGAGGCGUGAUGACGAGGCACUACGGUGCUGAAGCAACAAAUGCCCUGCUUCCAGGAAAAGCCUCUAAGCAUCAGGUAACAUCAAAUCGUACCCCAAACCGACACAGGUGGUCAGGUAGAGAAUACCAAGGCGCUUGAGAGAACUCGGGUGAAGGAACUAGGCAAAAUGGUGCCGUAACUUCGGGAGAAGGCACGCUGACACGUAGGUGAAGUGAUUUACUCACGGAGCUGAAGUCAGUCGAAGAUACCAGCUGGCUGCAACUGUUUAUUAAAAACACAGCACUGUGCAAACACGAAAGUGGACGUAUACGGUGUGACGCCUGCCCGGUGCCGGAAGGUUAAUUGAUGGGGUCAGCGCAAGCGAAGCUCCUGAUCGAAGCCCCGGUAAACGGCGGCCGUAACUAUAACGGUCCUAAGGUAGCGAAAUUCCUUGUCGGGUAAGUUCCGACCUGCACGAAUGGCGUAAUGAUGGCCAGGCUGUCUCCACCCGAGACUCAGUGAAAUUGAACUCGCUGUGAAGAUGCAGUGUACCCGCGGCAAGACGGAAAGACCCCGUGAACCUUUACUAUAGCUUGACACUGAACAUUGAGCCUUGAUGUGUAGGAUAGGUGGGAGGCUUUGAAGUGUGGACGCCAGUCUGCAUGGAGCCGACCUUGAAAUACCACCCUUUAAUGUUUGAUGUUCUAACGUGGACCCGUAAUCCGGGUUGCGGACAGUGUCUGGUGGGUAGUUUGACUGGGGCGGUCUCCUCCUAAAGAGUAACGGAGGAGCACGAAGGUUGGCUAAUCCUGGUCGGACAUCAGGAGGUUAGUGCAAUGGCAUAAGCCAGCUUGACUGCGAGCGUGACGGCGCGAGCAGGUGCGAAAGCAGGUCAUAGUGAUCCGGUGGUUCUGAAUGGAAGGGCCAUCGCUCAACGGAUAAAAGGUACUCCGGGGAUAACAGGCUGAUACCGCCCAAGAGUUCAUAUCGACGGCGGUGUUUGGCACCUCGAUGUCGGCUCAUCACAUCCUGGGGCUGAAGUAGGUCCCAAGGGUAUGGCUGUUCGCCAUUUAAAGUGGUACGCGAGCUGGGUUUAGAACGUCGUGAGACAGUUCGGUCCCUAUCUGCCGUGGGCGCUGGAGAACUGAGGGGGGCUGCUCCUAGUACGAGAGGACCGGAGUGGACGCAUCACUGGUGUUCGGGUUGUCAUGCCAAUGGCACUGCCCGGUAGCUAAAUGCGGAAGAGAUAAGUGCUGAAAGCAUCUAAGCACGAAACUUGCCCCGAGAUGAGUUCUCCCUGAGACUUAGAGUCUCCUGAAGGAACGUUGAAGACGACGACGUUGAUAGGCCGGGUGUGUAAGCGCAGCGAUGCGUUGAGCUAACCGGUACUAAUGAACCGUGAGGCUUAACCU